CUCUCUUCUCCAGACCUGGUUCUCUAUCCACUGAGACACCUGGCUGCCCCUGCCUUCUUAGUAUUUCUGAACCAGAGGGGUCGAGGACUCCCUGCCAUGGGAUUUUCUUUCCUCACAAAGGACCUAGAGGCUAGGGUGAAUAAUGGGACUGGCUCAAGUAGUUGAGAGGAGGUAGAAAAAAGAUGGAAUCCUAAAGUAUUGGGGUUAGAAGAGAUCUCUAAACAGACAGUACUUCCUCUAACUUUUUUAAGCCUCAAUGAUCCUUUUGUUUAAAAUCUUACUUUUAUUUCUAUCUUUUCCCUCUCUUUCUUUCUAUAGUCUUUUCUUUAUUUGGUGAUCUCCUCUCCUCCCCUGGGUUUAUUUACCAGCCUUUUCCCUGGUCAUGCAUGACUACUGAGUCUUUCUUUAGUUAGAAGCUCUUCCCUGAAUGGUCCCAUAUGGUCCCACUCAAUGGCCUUUCACCAUCUCAAACAAGCUCCAAACUAGACUCAUCACAAGUUCAGAGCCUGAAGUGACCAGAGAUGAUAUCUAGCCUGAAUCUGAGAACUGAAGUGACAUCCAAGCUCACUCAAGGGCCGUUUAUUGUAGCUGUACUUCAGCACCCUGUUCUGUAUUUGACUACUAUCACCUCCCAACUUCUGGUCUCUCUCCUCUUCAAAUCAUCCAUCAGAGAUCUGCCAAAUUAUUUUCUUCAGGCUUUACAGGUACCAUAGAACAGCUGGUCUCCAAGCCUUGGUAGGGGAAGACUACAAGGCCCAGCAUGCAGCGCGCCGCCCACGCCCCCAGGGGAGAAGUGUGUGUGUCUAUGUCGGAAGACUACGACUCCCAGCAUGCUUCCCGCGGCACGCGAAAGACCCUGGGACUUGUAGUUUGCGAAGGCUGCGGCCCAGCCGACUGGUAGGUCGGUCCGUCGGUCUUCCCGCCCGGCCCGGCCCCCCGCACC